rnacentral:rRNA from 1 species
UACGUAGGCAGCGAGCGUUGUUCGGAAUUACUGGGCGUAGAGAGUGUGUAGGCGGUGCUCUAAGUUCGGUGUGAAAUCUCCCGGCUUAACUGGGAGGGUGCGCCGGAAACUGGAGUGCUCGAACGUGGGAGAGGAAAGCGGAAUUCCUGGUGUAGCGGUGAAAUGCGUAGAUAUCAGGAGGAACACCUGCGGUGUAGACGGCUUUCUGGACCAUUGUUGACGCUGAGACACGAAAGCGUGGGUAGCAAACAGG